rnacentral:misc_RNA from 1 species
GAUGAAGAACGCAGCGAAAUGCGAUAAGUAAUGUGAAUUGCAGAAUUCAGUGAAUCAUCGAGUCUUUGAACGCACAUUGCGCCCCCUGGUAUUCCGGGGGGCAUGCCUGUCCGAGCGUCAUUGCCGCCCUCAAGAACGGCUUGUGUGUUGGGCCCCCGCCCCCCGGCUUCGGGGGGCGGGCCCGAAAGGCAGCGGCGGCACCGCGUCCGGUCCUCGAGCGUAUGGGGCUUCGUCACCCGCUCUGUAGGCCCGGCCGGCGCCCGCCGGCGACCCCAAUCAAUCUUUCCAGGUUGACCUCGGAUCAGGUAGGGAUACCCGCUGAACUUAAGCAUAUCAAUAAGCGGAGGA